UAGGGAAUCUUCGGCAAUGGACGAAAGUCUGACCGAGCAACGCCGCGUGAGUGAAGAAGGUUUUCGGAUCGUAAAACUCUGUUGUUAGAGAAGAACAAGGACGUUAGUAACUGAACGUCCCCUGACGGUAUCUAACCAGAAAGCCACGGCUAACUACGUGCCAGCAGCCGCGGUAAUACGUAGGUGGAAAGCGUUGUCCGGAUUUAUUGGGCGUAAAGCGAGCGCAGGCGGUUUCUUAAGUCUGAUGUGAAAGCCCCCGGCUCAACCGGGGAGGGUCAUUGGAAACUGGAAGACUUGAGUGCAGAAGAGGAGGGUGGAAUUCCAUGUGUAGCGGUGAAAUGCGUAGAUAUAUGGAGGAACACCAGUGGCGAAGGCGGCUCUCUGGUCUGUAACUGACGCUGAGGCUCGAAAGCGUGGGGAGCAAACAGG
rnacentral:rRNA from 1 species